UAAAGAGUUCUAUAACUCCCAAACCCAUGUGAACAUACCUAACGUUGCCUCGGCAGGUCGCGCCUACCUCGUAGCCCCCUACCCUGUAGGGCCUACCCGGGAGACGCGGGUAAGCCUGCCGGCGGCCCACUAAACUCUGUUUGAUAUUGAAUUCUGAACCUAUAACUAAAUAAGUUAAAACUUUCAACAACGGAUCUCUUGGUUCUGGCAUCGAUGAAGAACGCAGCGAAAUGCGAUAAGUAAUGUGAAUUGCAGAAUUCAGUGAAUCAUCGAAUCUUUGAACGCAUAUUGCGCCCAUUAGUAUUCUAGUGGGCAGGACCGUUCGAGCGUCAUUUCGACCCUUAAGCCUUGGUUGCUUAGUGUUGGGAGCCUACGGUAACGUAGCUCCUCAAAGUUAGUGGCGGAGUUGGUUCACACUCUAGACGUAGUAAUUUUUUAUCUCGCCUAUUAGUUGGACCGAUCCCCUGCCGUAAAACCCCCAACUUCUCAAGGUUGACCUCGAAUCGGUUCAGACAAACUCGCUAAAUUGAAGCAUCUUAGUCAGCGAAGGAAAAGAAACCAACAGGGAUUGCCCUAGUAACGGCGAGUGAAGCGGCAACAGCUCAAAUUUGAAAUCUGGCCCUCGGGUCCGAGUUGUAAUUUGUAGAGGAUGCUUUUGGCGCGGUGCCUUCCGAGUUCCCUGGAACGGGACGCCUUAGAGGGUGAGAGCCCCGUACGGUUGGACACCAAGCCU
rnacentral:rRNA from 1 species